rnacentral:rRNA from 1 species
GACGAACGCUGGCGGCGUGCUUAACACAUGCAAGUCGAGCGGAGCGGCGAACGGGUGAGUAACGCGUGAGUAACUGCCCCCCUCUCUGGGAUAACAGUUGGAAACGGCUGCUAAUACCGGAUAGUGGGGGAUGACUCGCGUCCUAUCAGCUUGUUGGUGGGGUAGUGGCCGACCAAGGCGACGACGGGUAGCCGGCCUGAGAGGGCGAACGGCCACAUUGGGCGAAGGUACGGCCCAAUGGCCUACGGGAGGCAGCGGUGGGAAGUAUUGCACAAUGGGGGAAACCCUGAGGCAGCAACGCGCGUGCGGGAUGACGGCCUUCGGGUUGUGAACCGCGUUCAGCCAUGACGCGGUAGUGGCAGAAGAAGCACCGGCUAACUACGUGCCAGCCGCCGCGGUAAUAC